CUAAACUUGAUGGUAGAUAUGGUGACUUUGAUAGGUUCUGUUUUUAUUGCAGUUUUUAGUGCAUGUGUAUGUGUGUGUUUUCUGAUGGGGAGAAAUUGUAUUUAAGCCUGUCACAGUGAUCAUAUUAAAAUUCAUGUUCUGAGGUGGCACGGCUCAGUAGUCAAAUCUCAGACCCUAGAGACUAUCUUCAUAAUCUGCUUCAAGCUUCCCUUUUGUUUUAUGAGUAAUGUAACUUCUGUGUACUCUGGGUCUCUACCCCUGGAUCUCCUGGACACAACAGAAGCCAUCUGAGAAGGUUGUUAGAAUCAGAUGCGGAUGGAGAAUGCUUAGAAUAGUCUACUUCACGAAAGCCGAUGUCCCACGCUCCCUGACCUGCCUGCCAUGUCCUCUGCUCAAGGUGCAGGAGCAGAGAUUUGUGCCAGCAGCCCUACAGUCAAGCUAUGGUCCUGGUGUUUAUUAGCUGUGUGGUGUAGGGGAAUCACACCACUGAUCUGGGCUUCAAUCUUUUUCAUUAAUGAAGUAGGUUCUAAUGAACACACAAAGAAAGGGCUGUUGUGUCUAUGAGGCGAGAUGAUACAUGUGAGUUUGAGGCACAAGAAAUUGAUCAAGACCACGGUUAAGUGCUAUCUAUUCUGACCCAACCACAUCAGUUCCUUCACAUGGUUUCCAACCAUAAUAAACUCCUAUCAGAAUACGGACCCGAAGUUUAAAUACAGUAGACGCUUAGUUCUCUUGCGAAAGUCUGGAGACAUCCCAGUUGUUGAGGCAGCUCGUGUGCAGUUGCUUUUGCUCCGUGACAUUGCCUAGAAACCCAGGGUGAUGUGCACUGCACAUCUCAAUACGCAGCUCCCAAAGUCGCUGUCAUCCCUGGGUGCCCUUCUACUGCUAGGAGGGGGGGAAAAGCUGAAGGAAGAAGGCUUGCAGAACGCGUAGGACCCAGGUGUACUGCUUCCAUAGUUCAUGGGGUAGAGCGUAACCAUGAGACUACGUGAGAGAAUGGAGGCUGAGGACACAGUGCAGCUGGCCUUGCAAAAGAGGACAGGGGACUUUUGGUGAACAGCUACCAGACUUAAAAUCCCUUUACCUGUGUUCAGAGCCACCCUCCCCUUGAAUGAGAGGCCUUUCCUCAUCAGAACAUCCCAAGUUAUAUACUGUGUGGACAGACACACAGGAGCAGGAGCCAUUUUCAAAAUGAACUAAGUAAAUAGGAAUGCUAUCCCACCCCUCCCGUCACCAAUUAACUCAGACUCGGUCUCCAGGAAUUCUGAAUGUCACGUAGGAGCACAGAAAAUAAUUUGGGCAGUCUGGGAGGUUGAGUGUGGGAUUCCAGGUCUUGGCUCAUGCAGCUCUUUCAGCGAUUCCAAAGCCAGGCUAUCAGCAGUGCCAUUAACCGCUGGCACAGAGUACAGGAGCCUUUUGCUCUUUCAUUCAUAUUUUAAAUUAUGGAUCCAUAUCAUUCUUUUCUUCAAAGAUAAACGCCAUUUAUCAGGAGAAGAUACCCCUCUUCCUGUCUACUCUAUACUUCCUGUUGGUCCAAGAUCUGAGGAGUGUGAGCUGCAUGCCCUGCUCCUGCCUCGAUGCCUGCUCUACCAUGCCCCCGUGGCUUGCUCCCUGCAUUCCAAAAUGCUGGAUGAAGAAAGAAAAACACGAAGCAUAGAAACCGUUUGUGGCGACGUUUUUGGAUCACUUCUGGUCUUGUUUUGACAAGCAGGGGCUUGCAGCUACUUUUGAUUUCAGAUAAAGCACACACUGGGAAAGCUCACUCCACGGCGAUGAGUCCUGAUAGAAAGAUUAUGGCAUGGAAGGACAGCUGGGCAGAACAAACGAAAAACAAACAAAACCAAAGCCUACAUCUCAGGCGCUGGUGUGCGUUUUCUGUUAAGAAGCAGGGAACUUCAGAUCCCACUGACAAAGGCCAAGUCGCUCACAGAACAUUAUAUGUGUUCCAAAAGACAUCUCGCCAAGGACAGUAAAUAAAUUGGUUGUACUUCCUUUAAGGCCAAAACGAUGUCUAACAUUGGUUUUCUGGCUCUUCAGUCUCAUUCCUCAGUCUAAACACUGUCCCUCAUAAACCCACCUUGCAACUUUGUCUUCAGAAGGGAAUGCUUUAGCUUUUAACCUUGUUAUAAGCUGCAUUCUUUGAACAAUGUUAAGAAAGGGGUUUUCUUAGCAACCUCUAACGAUUCUCUUGAGAGCAGCAACCAAGAACAUAUAUAAAGAAUCCUAAUAGUGACACUUCCUUCAGAAGCCUGUAUCUACAUUUGGGUGUAUCUCUUUCUGUCCCUGAGUACUCUUCUUUGUGCUUAAGUUACAUUUGAAUGAUCUUUUUAGAGAUUCAGCAUCUAUUUGUGUGUCUCUGUAAAUGAGAGUGUGUGUAUACCCGUAUGUUCCACGGCAUAAGUGGAAGGCAGAGGUCAACUUGCAGGACUUGAUUUUCUUCAUUCGCUGCGCGAGUCUUGGGAAGUGAUCUCAGUUCACCAGGUUUGGCUGGAAGCACCUUUACCCACGAAGCCAUCUUUUAUUUUUUAAACACAUCUCCAACUCCAGUUCGUGACAUUAUUUUCUUUGUUGAAGCUAUGAAUCUCAGGUUUGCCAGACUGGAAAUCUCUAAGAAGAAUGGGAAGUCAUCAGCUUCCUGUAGGAGAUGGGGUGGGAGCCAUCUGUACCACCAAUAGUAAUGAGAACCGCAGUCUAAGAACUACCCCCUGGUGGCUCUUAGGUAGGACCCCAUGCUUAUUGGGCAAGGAUUCACUGUCUCUGGAGUCACUGAAUGCCUUAUCUAGAAGGAGAUAGCCUCAAAGGGAAAGUCAUCACACUCUGUAAUGGAGCCUCUCUGUACCUCAGUUUCCCCCUCUGUGUAGUGGGAAUAAUAACCCUAUAUUAUAGAGUUGUUAUAAUGUUUCAGUGAGGCAUUAGAAGCAAAGAACUCAGUGCUAGCCACAUAGGGAAAACUGUGGAAAUGUUGCCUAGCAUUGACCCAUUACCAGAAGGACAGGGUCUUAUUAAUGGAAGAUGCUCGAACAUAUUGUGUAUGUGUGUGAGAGUGUUUUUAUGUAUGAGUGUGUGCAUGU